rnacentral:rRNA from 1 species
UACAGAGGGGGCAAGCGUUGUCCGGAAUUACUGGGCGUACAGCGCGCGCAGGCGGUUGCCGACGUGCCGUGUGACAAACGGGGGCUCAACCCCCGAGGGCCACGGUAAACGGGGCGACUGGAGGAAGGGAGAGGGAUGUGGAAUGCCCGGUGGAGCGGUGAAAUGCGUAGAUAUCAGGAGGAACACCUGUGGUGUAGACAGCUUACUGGACCAUUUCUGACGCUGAGACACGAAAGCGUGGGUAGCAAACAGG